GACGAACGCUGGCGGCGUGCCUAAUACAUGCAAGUAGAACGCAGAUGAGAACGGGUGAGAAACGCGUAGGUAACCCGCCUUAUAGGGGGGGAUAAAGAUUGGAAACGAUAGCUAAUACCGCAUACUGGGAGAUGGACCGGCGUGGGAAUGGGUAGUGGGAGAGGUAAAGGCUCACCAAGGCGACGAUACAUGGCCGACCUGAGAGGGGUGUCUGGCCCACUGGGACUGGGAAACGGCCCAGAACCCUACGGGGGGGAGCAGUAGGGGAGUUUCGGCAAUGGGCGGAAGGCUGACCGAACAACGCCGCGUGGGUUGAGAAGGUUUUCGGGUCGUAAAUCUCUGUUGUUAGGGAAGCGGUAACUAACCAGAAAGUGACGGCUAACUACGUGCCAGCAGCCGCGGUAAUAC
rnacentral:rRNA from 1 species